rnacentral:rRNA from 1 species
GACGAACGCUGGCGGCGUGCCUAACACAUGCAAGUCGAACGAGGUCCAAGGGAGCUUGCUCCCUGACGACCUAGUGGCGAACGGGUGAGUAACACGUGAGAAACCUGCCUCGGAGUGGGGAAUAACUCGGGGAAACUCGAGCUAAUACCGCAUACCUUCACAUGAUCGCAUGGUCGAGUGAAGAAAGAAUUUCGCUCUGAGAGGGUCUCGCGGCCUAUCAGCUUGGUGGUGGGGGAACGGCCUACCAAGGCAACGACGGGUAGCUGGUUUGAGAGAACGAUCAGCCACAAUGGGACUGAGACACGGCCCAGACUCCUACGGGAGGCAGCCGUGGGGAAUCUUGCGCAAUGGGCGAAAGCCUGACGCAGCAACGCCGCGUGCGGGAUGACGGCCUUCGUGGUUGUAAACCGCUUUCAGCAGGGACGAAAAUGACGGUACCUGCAGAAGAAGCCCCGGCUAACUACGUGCCAGCAGCCGCAGUAACAC